CGCUGAAACACUGGUUCUCGUACGAUCAUCGAAGUUAAGCAAUGUCGAUCUUGUUAAGUACAUAGAUGUGUGACCUCUUGAGAAUAUCAGGUGCUGUGA